rnacentral:rRNA from 1 species
UGCAAGUCUGGUGCCAGCAGUGCAAGUAAUUUGCCAGCAGCCGCGGUAAUUCCAGCUCCAAUAGCGUAUAUUAAAGUUGUUGCAGUUAAAAAGCUCGUAGUUGAACUUUGGGCCUGGGCGGACGGUCUACCUAUGGUAAGCACUGUUGCGGCCGGGUCUUUCCUUCUGGCUAGCCCUCGGGCGAACCAGGACGAUUACUUUGAGGAAAUUAGAGUGUUCAAAGCAGGCCUUUGCUCGGAUAUAUUAGCAUGGAAUAAUARAAUAGGACGCAUGGUUCUAUUUUGUUGGUUUCUAGGACCAUCGUAAUGAUUAAUAGGGACGGUCGGGGGCAUCAGUAUUCAGUCGUCAGAGGUGAAAUUCUUGGAUUGACUGAAGACUAACUACUGCGAAAGCAUUUGCCAAACUGCGAAAGCAUUUGCCAAA